GGUAACAGGGGUAGCUUGCUACCCGCUGACGAGCGGCGGACGGGUGAGUAAUGCUUAGGAAUCUGCCCAGUAGUGGGGGACAACAAUCGGAAACGGUUGCUAAUACCGCAUACGCCCUAAGGGGGAAAGCAGGGGAUCUUCGGACCUUGCGCUAUUGGAUGAGCCUAAGUCGGAUUAGCUAGUUGGUGGGGUAAUGGCCCACCAAGGCGACGAUCCGUAGCUGGUCUGAGAGGAUGAUCAGCCACAUCGGGACUGAGACACGGCCCGAACUCCUACGGGAGGCAGCAGUGGGGAAUAUUGGACAAUGGGGGCAACCCUGAUCCAGCCAUGCCGCGUGUGUGAAGAAGGCUUUCGGGUUGUAAAGCACUUUCAGUGAGGAGGUAGGUCAAGUCGCUAAUAUCGGCUUGGAUUGACGUUACUCACAGAAGAAGCACCGGCUAACUCCGUGCCAGCAGCCGCGGUAAUACGGAGGGUGCAAGCGUUAAUCGGAAUUACUGGGCGUAAAGCGCGCGUAGGUGGUUUGUUAAGCGAGAUGUGAAAGCCCCGGGCUUAACCUGGGAACGGCAUUUCGAACUGGCAGGCUAGAGUGUGGUAGAGGGUAGUGGAAUUUCCUGUGUAGCGGUGAAAUGCGUAGAUAUAGGAAGGAACACCAGUGGCGAA
rnacentral:rRNA from 1 species